rnacentral:lncRNA from 1 species
GAAGCAUGUUAUGUGCAAAUAUCUCCAAAGGCAACUAAGUAGCAAAAGAAGAAAAUGUCCCUGGUUGUAUAAACAGAGGAGCAAGAUUUCUUCAAGUCCUGAUAAUGCCUUUCUAGAAGCUAAUUCAACACAUGCUAUAAUCUAAGCACAUGCUGUUACAUCUAUGAAGACAGAGAUGCGCAGUCGCCCCGGCCCCGCUCUAGCCGCUGAUAYGUACGCUCUCCUUUCGAAGCCGCGGGUUCUGGCGCGCUCGGAGCGCCCGCCGGGCCGACCGGGCCGCUCUCCUUGCGCUGCAGGGUACGGCGCUCGGGGCCGCGCCGAGCGCGCCGGUCCGACAGAUCUGCCCCGCUGCUGCCGUGACAAGGACAACGUAGGCGCUGAUGUGAGCAGAACAGCAAAAUACGGAGUGUGA